rnacentral:lncRNA from 1 species
AUGGCCUCCAAAAAAAUUACAUUGCAAAAAAUGAGAAAGAAACAAAACGGAAAGACUAAAACGGUUGAAGAGGCAGAGCCUGAAGAAUUUGUGGUAGAGAAAGUAAUGUCGUAUAGUGAAUGGGAAGGCGGAAUAUGUCCUGAAGUGGACGGGGUUCACAGAUGCUGAUAAUACUUGGGAACCAGGAGAAAAAUUUAGAUUCUCCAAAGUUAAUUCUAAUUGAAGCAUUUUUUAAUUCUCAAAAAGCUGGUAAAGAAAAAGAUGGUACAAAAAGGAAAUCUUUAUCCGACCGUGAAUCUGAUGAUAACAAAUCGAAGAAGAUGAGAGAUGCUGCUGACAAACCAAGGGGCUUUGCCAGAGGUCUUGAUCCUGAAUGAAUAGUUGGUGCCACAGCAGUGGAGAAUUAGUGUUUCUCAUGAAGUGGAAGGACUCGGAUGAGGCUGGCUUGGUGCUGCCAAAGGAGGCGAACAUGAAGCGUCCUCAGAUGGUCACUGCCUUCUACGAGGAGCGGCUGACUUGGCAUUCUUGUCCCAAAGAUGAAGUACAAUAA